rnacentral:tRNA from 1 species
UCGGCUGUGGUGUAAUUGGCAACACUCGCGCCUUUGGAGCGCGCUUUCCAGGUUCGAGCCCUGGCAGCCGAG